AAAUCUGUACAUAUUACUCAAGCUGAGGCUGCACCAGUGCAGAGUAGAGAGGGAAAAUAAUUUCCCUCAACCAGCUGGCAAUGCUGGGCUUAAUGUACCCCAGGAUACAAUUGUCCAUUUGGCUGCCAGGGCACAUUCUUCACUCAUAUUCAACUUGCCAUCAACUUGCUCUCCACCUUCUUGUCCCCUAGUCAGAACAUUUAUCCAUGGUUGCAAUGUCCCAGGUGCAAUAUCCAGCACUUGCUCUUGUAAAACUUCACGUUGGUGAUUUCCCAUACCUCAGAUUGGUCAAGAUCUCUUUCAAAGCCUCCAUACCCUCAAGGGAGGUCAACAGCUGGUCCUUAUUUAGUAUCUUCCACAAACUGAGAAUGUUGAAGAGAAGUGCCCCUAAAAUGGAGCCCUGGGGGCCAUUAGGUUGAUGGGUAGACAGAAGUCCAGGCAUAGAUGUUCAGCUGCAGCUGAGAACUUCUACCACACUGGCUGUGUUUGCUCUGUAUAUCAUUUGAUAUGAUUUCGGUGGAACACCAUAUUCUAAAGUAACACAAUCAGAUUUUUUCCAACCACAGUUAAAACAGGAUUUUAUUAUCAAAUUAUAUCUUCUUAUAGGAAGAACAUAGGACUUUUGCAGUCAUUUAGGGCUACAGUUCAAUAAAGAACUUAAGUCCAUGCAAAAAACAGUCUCUAUUCAACAAAGCAUGUGAGCAUAUAUGUAAAGAUUUACAUUAAUCCUUAAUGUAUACACUUAGAUAUUUUUAUGCACAUGGAUGAUUCCCAGAGCACUUUUUGCAAGACUGAGGCCUUAACUUUGAAUGUUGUUAUAAUACAAAUAUGAGCAACUGUUAUGAAAGUUCACUAGAGUACAGAAUUUUGUCAAAAACAUGACAGGUCAUUGGCUCAGCGUAGCAAACAUGCAGCUUAUUGAUCUUGGUGUGCACAAGAUCAGGCGAGUCCCCCUCUUGUCAAGAGCCUAGCUGCGGUGUCUCCUACACUCUGUGCUGUUCCUUAGAGUCAGCACACCAGGUUCCCCAAGUGUGAUUACAUCUAAGGUUGGAUGCCUAGGGAACUUCUAUGUAGUGCAGCUACACUCCACCGGGAAAGCUUCUUCAACGCUGUACAUUUUCUUUAAAAUGUGAAUACCAGUUCAAUUUCCAAGUCACCUCAGGUAAUUAUUCCACACAACGUCCACCUGGACAUAGAGCCAUUGACCACCACUCACUGGUUGCGACCUUCAAGCCAAUUCUUUAUCCACUGAAUGGUCCACCCUUCAAAUCCAGCUCUCUCCAAUUUUGAGAUCAGGAUGUCAUAUAGGACCAUGUCAAAGGCCUUACUAAGGUAGAAAAGUCCUUGCUUUCAUUUAUGUUGGACUGAUUUUUUUUUUUUUUUCAUUAUUUUUACACAGCAUGUGAUUCACUGCUACAGAUGCACUGGAAAUGACUCUUCAAAAUAGAAAUGAAUUAAUUAAUUAAGUCUUCCAUUUAUAGUCUCUCUACAUCUGUCAUGGCUACAAAGGCAUGGAGCUCCUUCUUAGUUUCCCUAGAAGAUUUUCAUAACGGAUUUUCCCAAAACUUUCUGAAGUCCAAACAGUAUAGGUUAACUGCAUCCUUAUCCAUAUGUUCUUCAUCCCUACAAAGCAAAGAAGAUAGGUAGAGAUUCUGCUAAGACUGUAAUGAAGCCUGCAAUGCAAAUUUGUUAUUUUUUCAGGACUUUUUUUUUCUUAUUUUUUUUUCAGAAAAGUAAAUACUUGUUUGUUUCAGAAAAGUAAAUGUUCAUCCAAACCAUGGAUGAAUUUCAGUUUGAACUAACACUUUAACCAUGAGAUUCUAAGCAUUUGGAAUCUCAUUUUCCAUAGUUCUAAAAUAGCCUAUAGCGAGGUGGAGGUCAGGUUCUCGUCCCAAGGACCAAGUGAUAAGAUGAGGGGAACCAGCCUCAAGUUGUGCCAGGGGAGGUUUAAGUUGGAUAUUAGGAGAAAUUUCUGUACUGAAAGGGUUGUAUGGCUUUGGAAUAAGCUUCCCAGGGAAUUGGUUGAAUCACCAUCCCUGGAAGUCUUCAAGAAGUGUGUAGAUUUAGAACUUAGUAGCAUGGUUUAGUGGUGGUCUUUAGUACUAAGUUAAAGGUUGCACUAGAUGAUCUUAGAGGUCUUUUCCAACCUGAAUGAUUCUAUGCUUCUGUGAUUCUACAUAUUUUUACUGAAUAGUGCUUUGAGUUCAUCUAGAAUGAUGAAUUGUAUCCUCAGAUCUGGGAUUGAGGUAAAAAAAAUUAUAAAUCUUCAAAAUUUUAUUUUUUGUUUUCCUCUCCAUAAUUCAGAAAAUCACUGAAUGGCUUUUACUCAGCUUUUUCAAAAAGCCAAGGGAUAUUUUGGACAUCAGGACAUUCAGUUUUUAUUUCAGGUGCAAGCAUAAAAAACCAUACACAGCAAAAAAUAAAAUAGAGGUGGGAAAAAGUUGUGGAGCACACAUGGAGACGAAAAUGAGGGGUAAGCAGAAAUACUACUGUUAAUGGAAAAUGUUACUGAAGAGAACAGAUAAGGAAAUAGGUGAAAGGAAGACAUAAAGUUUCAAGGAAAACAGACUCAUAAGGAAAUUGUUAGAUUUAUAGACUACUGAAUGUUAGUCCUUUUUUGCCUUGUAGUUUUGGAACUGGAGGGUUGUUAAAGCAUUUGGGUCCAAUUUUGUAAAUGUCAAUAAAAAAGUAGAAAAAUAAAAUGCUGUCUGAACUUUUGAAAGCUUCUUUGAAUUAAUCCUCAAGCUGAUGGAGAUGUUAAGCAAAUAGAAUAACAUGCAAAUAGUAUUACAAUGUUUGUAAAAUUAUAUUCUCUGUCAGUUGCAAUGAUUAGCUUUUCUACCAUGAAUUCAUACAUUACUUAAAAUUCCUUUGCAUUGAUGUACCAUAGCAUAUUACUGGUUUGUAGAUGAGUAUUAUUUGUCAGGGGAAAAUACGGUGUGACGGCAAUGAUUUUCCUAUUUAGUGUACUCACUCAGAUAGUAAUGGGACACACAACCAUUGCCCUAUAAUUAUUGUUGAUUGCAGAAGUUGAUACUCUGUGAUGAUACCCAAGUUAAUUAAUUUCAGUUGGCCAGCUACUGUCUAGAAAAGGCCUUGGGCUGAGGUUGUUGUUUAAUGAAAAUCAUGUUUCUAAUAAAAGAGGAAAAGAUGAGGAUGGAUGCUAGAUUUCUAUGGAAUUAGAAUUUAACUCUUUGUCUGUGAACUAACUGAAAGAUUGACAAAAUAUGUGAGUUUUGGUUUUCUUUCUAAAACUGAAAUCUUUCUCAGUCCUUUGUACUUCUCAUAACUUGUGCUAACUGGUAUGAAAUAGUUUUGAAUUAGGAGGCUUUUUCUAAGUUGUGGACUGGUUUCAUUAUUUCCUACUGUAAGUUAUAAGCUACAAGCUACUCUUUGGUUAUACACUUUGAUUGCUUCUGUAUGAGACUCACUAUCUACUCACUUUUUAAUUAAUCUUAAAACUUGAUCUUAAGCAUCACUGCUCAUUUCUACAAUAACAUUCAUCAACCUAACAAAAUACUAAAUUCAUGGGAGAAUUUUAUUGAUUUAAUAAUACAUGCUAACUCUGCAGGAAAUUUGCCUAUGAAGAAAAAAAUAUUGAAUGUAUUUAGGUUUGCCUUCUGUCACAGAGAAAAGAAGUCAAGAAUCUUAUUUUCUGUCAGUCCCCCUUUCUUCUUUCUGUGAGUGUCCAUUCUGAUGAUCUCAGUCACAUCUAGGAAGAUGCCUAUGAAGCUAUUGCUGCUACUGUGUGGUGAACAGAUUUUGACAGUAAAAAUUUAACUUCUUAAGGACUUUAAUAUUAAUGUAGAAAAUGAAUCUUCAAGUAAGGAUUUCUGGAAGUGAAUAUGUGGUAUUUUAGAUCUUGUGUAACUCCUGUUGUUUUGUAAAUACUUCCAGUAGACUCCAUGUUGUAUUCAGUAUUUCUGGUUAGAGUUUCUUCAGGAUUCAUUAUAUCCUCUUCAAUAUUGUUAAUAAAACUAUUUUUAAGAGUUACAGAAAUCCUCAACAAGAUUAGUUAGUGGUACCAGAUAAUCUUAUUAGGUGGCACAAUAUUAUUGUAGAGAUGUAACAGUAGAAAAGUAAGAUUAAAACAAAGUGGUAGAAGUAAAGAGAAAUCCUCUUUUGUAAGCCACAGAUAAUGCAAACAAACAUGUUUUGUUAUUAUCCUGAACCAAUAACUCACAAAAAUGUAAACCAUCCUAUGGUAGGGAUUUUUCUUUUUGUUGAAACAUUUUAAAUGUGAUGAUUUUUUUUCCUCAUUUUUACUAUGAGUAAUAUUCAUUCUCACAGAAUAUUUGGCACACUAAAUUAUCAAGUGAAACAGAAGUUUUAGAAUUUUGCUUUUGUUUUCCUCUCAGUUCCAAAUUAUUUUGAGAUCCUAAUUAAUUAUCUUUGUUUCUCUUACAUUGCUACUAAUUGUAUUUAAACUGUAAAUCUUUGGAACUGUCUAGGCGGUGUUUAGCAAUGCAUGAACGUCAUAAUAUACUGCCUCUCUUAAAGUCUAUAUCAAAUUUCCCAGUAUCAUUGGCAGAGAUCUUGAUCUAGGCUUAUAUUAUCAAUGUAGAAAAGUGGUGGGUAUGUUGAACUUUUAGUCUUUUUUUUUUGUCAGAUCUGUAUAAGUUUCUCUAAAGUGGCACUACGAAUCUUUAUUCCUUCUGUUCAAAAAUCUGCAUGACCGACAGUGGAAACAUAAAAAGUGAUAAAUUUCUUUUGCUGAUAAGGGUGAAAUUUAGAAAGCUCUUCCUGUCUCAGCUUUGUAUGACACAAAAAUUCAAAAUGUUAGAUAUCAAAGGAAACAGUCGCACACUUUGAUAUCUGAUCUCAGUCUGUAGUUAAUUCAGUAGUUAAUUUAGAGCAAGUUCAAUAUGAACUAAAUCAGUUGCUGCUGCUGUAGUGAAUGAGCCCUCCCACUCUGAUUAUCAAAGGCAAGAUUGUUGGGAGAGUCUUCAAUCCUCCUUCCCUGCACAGUGACAGAGUGGUGAUGCUUUUACUUUUAGUCUUUUUAUUAUCUUGGAGUGGAAGGGAACAUGAAGUGAGGCCAUGAAAAUGUAAUGUGACCCAUCACAUGUGCCUACAAGAUUAUGUCAUUCUUCAGAGGCAGAAUCUUUAAGGAUCCCUAGGAAGGUCUCUGGAAUUUAUAGAUUUUUCUCUGUGAUACUCAAGAGUUAUGUUACCAGGCUCAAAAGCUUAAAUCUCCCUCUAAACUGAGGCUAUGUUUUUGUAUUCAAGUACUUUUCCUCUCAUAAGUGAUUUUUCUGAAAUUUAAAGAUUCACACAGAUUGUCGCAGACAAGGUGCUGCCUUGACCACUGCCACAUACAACACUGCCAGUACUCACAUAAAACACAGCAUCACAGAAUCACAGAAUGGCCAAGGUUGGAAAGGACCUCUGAAGAUCAUCUUGUCCUACACCCCUGCCAAGCAGGAUCACCUAGAGCACAUUCCGCAGAAUUGCAUCCAGGUUUUAAUUAGCAUGAUGGAAAACUCAAUUACUCCUGAAAUUACAUCAUUGUAAUUUGUAACCCAAAAGAAUGGAAUGUAACGCUUCUUCAUUUCCACUUUCAUUGAAAACGUGGCUUUAACAUUCAAAUCUGAAAGCUCUGGGGACAGACAGGAGCUGUUGUACUGGAUUUGGCUGGGAUGGAGUUAACUUUCCCCAAAGCAGCUUCUAGUGUUGUGCUGUGCUCUUGUAGCUAGAGCAGCACUGAUAUCACACUAAGGUUUUGUCUAUUGCUAAGCAGUGCUGGCACAGCAUAAAGACUCUUUCCAACCUCUCCCACCCUGGAAAAAAGCCAGCAGGCUGGGCUGGGUGUCGGCAAGAGGUGGGAAGGAGGCAUCAUCGGGGCAGCUGGCCUAAACCUACCAAAGGGAUAUUCCAUAGCAUAUGACGUCACAUUCAGCAAUAAAAGCUGGGAAAGAGGAAGGGGGGAGGGAUGUGUGUGUGUGUGUGUGGGAGGCAGUUCUCUUUAUGAAAAUAACUGUCCUCCUGAGCAGCUGAUGCAUGUUGACGCUCUGCUUCCUAAGAUGUGGCUGAACAUCUGUUACUUAUGGGAAUUUAUGGGAAUAUGGGAAAUAGAGAACAAUUGUUUUCUCCCUUUUCUUCCAUGCUGCCUUUCCUUGAUUUUCUCUUUUCCUUUAAUUAAACUGUCCUUACCUCAAACUGUGAGCCUUUUUUCAUUAUAUUUUCUUUCUCUGUUCUUUUGAGGAGUGGGAGUGACAGAGCGGUGUUAUGGAGUUUAGCUAGCCAUCAUUGUGAAACCACCACAGCUGGUUUGCAUCAAUCCAUGUUUGUAGUCAGAACUUGGAUGCCCAUAUCAAAAUUCUCAGUGUUUUUCUUGAAUGGCUUUCACAGAUCAUUUAGGUUGAUAUUUAAUAUUAUUUCUGCUUACUUGUUGUUUAGUUUCUUGGUGGCUUUGUGUUUGUUGUGAUAGUUUUCUUCACAGUAGUUGAUAUGGUGCUGUGUUUUGGAUUUAGGAUGAGAGCAAAGUUGAUAACACACCAGUGUUUUAGUUGUUGCUGAGCACUGCUUACACUAAGCUAAGGACUUUUAAGCUUCUUAUACUGCCCUGCCAGCAAGGAGGUUUGGGGCAGACAAGAAGCAGGGAGGGGACACAGCCAGGACAGCCAAUCCAAACUGGCCAAGGGGAUAUUCUAUACCAUAUAAUGUCAUGCUGAACAGUAAAACUGGAGGGGACUGGGGGAGUGGGCCUGCUGUUGCUCAGGGACUGGCUGGGCAUCAGUCACCUGGUGGUGCUGAGCAAUUGUG